UGAUGAUGAAGACGGUCCCGCCCGGACCGCGGUUCCAGCGGCAACUGGUUCCACGGUGGGCACCAAAUGUCGUUGUUUUCAUAUAGGGGUACCCUGGCGGCAUAUGUCAUGGGAUGACUAAUCGAGGUGAGGGCAAGGCUGUCGUGGAGAAUCCGGGACGAGAUAGGGUAAUAGUACGCAGGGGUUUACCCAGGUUCGGGGCUCUCCGGAGAGAUAAUACCCCUACUCCUGCAUGUGUGUGUAUGAUGUAUAUUAACAGUACAAGGUUGCUCCUGGAGCUGUAUUGGAGGAGAAAGAGAGCUGAGCGCCUCCUCCUUGGCCUCAUGUAUGAGUGUGUGUAUGUGGGGGACUGAGAGCCUGAGAGGAUGAGAGGGCAGCCUGAGGCCUUUUGUAUGGAUGCGUAGCUUGGUAUGUAAGCUACGGUUACCAAGCUGCUUCGUAUGUAAGCUACGGUGGGUAGCUUACAUGCCAAGCUAUAUGUAGCUUUGGAGCUAAGCUAUGCUUGUCCCCUGGGGCGCUUUAUAAUCCAGCGCCCAGGGGACUAGUUACACUGUAGAUGAAGCAGUACGACGCCCGAGAGGACGUCGUAG
rnacentral:lncRNA from 1 species